rnacentral:lncRNA from 1 species
CAUAUAAAAAAUGUAUGUGCACCGAGGAUUUGACAGGGAACCUUUCUCUUUUCAAGCAUCAUGCGCAUUUUCGAAGGAAGGGGAAAAUUGGAGGAAGCAAUGCACGGGCAUCUCAUUGCCCCGACACCAACCUAUAUACUAAAACAAUGGCCUUUAUCAUGAGAACCUCACAAAACUUUCACAUAUCAACUUUCUAGUGGAGUCCGUUGACCUCGGGGAAUUCACUCAUCAUUCUUUCCGUGGCCUUCCCCGGUAAAAAUUAAUGUUACAGACUUCACCCUGGCAAUUUGAAUAAAAUAACAUCAAGGCAUGACUUCACCCUUACAAUUUGAAUACAAUAAAAACAAUUUCGCCUUAGUACAUACAACUUCUGACCUUCAUAGUUUAAUAGUGAUUUGAAUACAAUAAUUUGGAGUUACCCAUAGUUCAAUAGAACAAAAUGUUAAGUUGCCCCACAACUCUCAUCGUUUGGGGCCUCAAAAAGAGAAACAACAUAUGCUCAAGAUUUUGAACCAAAUCAUAAAAAAACUAUGUGCAAUAUGAACUAUGAUCAAACUCAAACAAGAAUCAAUAUGGACUAGUUGCAAAUAAAUAAUUUGAAGCAAGUCACUAACCAAAGGCAUUAACAAAACCAAAAGGUCCUUCAUUGCAAAAAUUUGGAGCAUCCAGGACACUCCAAUUUUAUAUUAUUUUUUAUACAUUAACCUUUAUACAAAAACAAAAGAAACAUACGCGGCCUAUGUUUCUCGACACCUUGGGUUGUACUAUUUUGUUCUUGCUCUACCAAUCGUCGC